AUCAUUUAGAGGAAGGAGAAGUCGUAACAAGGUUUCCGUAGGUGAACCUGCGGAAGGAUCAUUGUCGAAUCCUGCAGACCACCGCGAACAAGUUAACAAACGCGGGGCGCGGGAGGGCCGGGGGAGACCCCGUCGCCAGCCCGCACCCCCCAACGAACAAAACUCUCGGCGCGAAAAGCGCCAAGUACUACUGAAACGGAUUGCCUGCCUGCCCUGCGGCUUCCGCUGGGGUGGGAUCACGGCUCCYGAAACGUAACGAAAACGACUCUCGGCAACGGAUAUCUAGGCUCUCGCAUCGAUGAAGAACGUAGCGAAAUGCGAUACUUGGUGUGAAUUGCAGAAUCCCGUGAACCAUCGAGUUUUUGAACGCAAGUUGCGCCCGAAGCCAUUAGGCUGAGGGCACGUCUGCCUGGGCGUCACGCAUCUCGUCGCCACCCCCUCCUCGCGCCUCUCUGGGUCGCAUGCGAGGGGUGGCGGAUGUUGGCCUCCCGUGCCCRCGAGGCGCGGCCGGCCCAAAUGCGAGUCCUCGGAGCGGGACGUCACGACGAGUGGUGGUUGAACUCUCAACACGAGUGCUGUCGCGACGACGCCCCCCGACGGACUGCCACGACCCUCAGAGCCCCUCGAAUUGCGGGGCCUCCGAACGCGACCCCAGGUCAGUCGGGACUACCCGCUGAGUUUAAGCAUAUCA
rnacentral:misc_RNA from 1 species